rnacentral:rRNA from 1 species
GAUGAACGCUGGCGGCGUGCCUAAUACAUGCAAGUCGAGCGAACAGACGAGGAGCUUGCUCCUCUGACGUUAGCGGCGGACGGGUGAGUAACACGUGGAUAACCUACCUAUAAGACUGGGAUAACUUCGGGAAACCGGAGCUAAUACCGGAUAAUAUAUUGAACCGCAUGGUUCAAUAGUGAAAGACGGUUUUGCUGUCACUUAUAGAUGGAUCCGCGCCGCAUUAGCUAGUUGGUAAGGUAACGGCUUACCAAGGCAACGAUGCGUAGCCGACCUGAGAGGGUGAUCGGCCACACUGGAACUGAGACACGGUCCAGACUCCUACGGGAGGCAGCAGUAGGGAAUCUGCCGCAAUGGGCGAAAGCUUGACGGAGCAACGCCGCGUGAGUGAUGAAGGUCUUCGGAUCGUAAAACGCUGUUAUUAGGGAAGAACAAAUGUGUAAGUAACUAUGCACGUCUUGACGGUACCUAAUCAGAAAGCCACGGCGAACUACGU